UGCCCUUUGUACACACCGCCCGUCGCUACUACCGAUUGAAUGGCUCAGUGAGGCGUCCGGACUGGCCCAGAGAGGUGGGCAACUACCACUCAGGGCCGGAAAGCUCUCCAAACUCGGUCAUUUAGAGGAAGUAAAAGUCGUAACAAGGUCUCCGUUGGUGAACCAGCGGAGGGAUCAUUACCGAGUUUACAACUCCCAAACCCCUGUGAACAUACCACUUGUUGCCUCGGCGGAUCAGCCCGCUCCCGGUAAAACGGGACGGCCCGCCAGAGGACCCCUAAACUCUGUUUCUAUAUGUAACUUCUGAGUAAAACCAUAAAUAAAUCAAAACUUUCAACAACGGAUCUCUUGGUUCUGGCAUCGAUGAAGAACGCAGCAAAAUGCGAUAAGUAAUGUGAAUUGCAGAAUUCAGUGAAUCAUCGAAUCUUUGAACGCACAUUGCGCCCGCCAGUAUUCUGGCGGGCAUGCCUGUUCGAGCGUCAUUUCAACCCUCAAGCACAGCUUGGUGUUGGGACUCGCGUUAAUUCGCGUUCCCCAAAUUGAUUGGCGGUCACGUCGAGCUUCCAUAGCGUAGUAGUAAAACCCUCGUUACUGGUAAUCGUCGCGGCCACGCCGUUAAACCCCAACUUCUGAAUGUUGACCUCGGAUCAGG
rnacentral:ncRNA from 2 species